rnacentral:lncRNA from 10 species
AUUCAGACAUAAUCAUAUUUGAAACUCGUUUUCUAAUUUACUAAGUUUAUAGUCUUUGAUAAAUUACCUGUUUUCUCCAUUUUAGCUCCUUUGCUAGAAAAAAAUGGGAAUAAUUGUACUUACCCGAGGUGCAAGAAAUAUACUAGACUGUGUAAAGCACAAUGGCACCCAGCACAAGCUGUGCAGGUGGUAGCUGGGUUUCAUCAUGAUUACGGACAAUGCCUGGUAAAGUAUGCCCUCAAUAACUGUUAUUUCUCUUCCCACCUCUUGGUGCAGACAGAGUUUCAUCAGAGAGCCUCUUAUUCAAUGGCCUUAUCUGCCAAACUGCUUACCCUCUGGAGUAGCUAAAACCUUUUCCAGAAGCUUUCAAGUCCAAAUAACUUUAGUAUUUCUUUCCAACCACAUGGGCUCCUACAGAGGCCAGUUGGUAGCCAUGCUCUGAAAAUGAGGCAGAGUUCAGAUUUCUACUGCAUUUUAUGGGCACAAACAACUCAAACUUGGUAAACACUUUCAUUGCCAUGUGGAGCAAAGCGUUCUGAAGCCUUGAUAUGACACUUUAUUUCUAGGUGGAACACCACUAAUCAGCCACCCACCCACACUGUUAAGUGGGUUGAUGCAGCUGGGCUUCGAUGAGGGCAUGUACUGGAAUCAGACACCCAGCAUCAUCAUUCACCAGGGGAAUGUUCCUCAGUGAAGGAAGUAUAUUUUGGGAACCUCACAUUCCUCAUUUAGAAACUUAGGCACAUAAGAGAAUGUCUGUGAACCUCAGAUUCCUAAUCUGUAAAAUGGGAAUGAUAACACCUGUUUUGCAGGGCUGGUGUUGGGAUUAAAAGAGAUAACUAUGUGAAGUGCUGGAGGAUGAUUCAAAUCCAAUAAAUUACAUUUGUUAUUAUUACUGCCUCGAAUUAUUCUGCUUUCAAUUCUUGGUAAUUUAAAAUUGUUAUCUUUUGAUUUUCUUUUCUAACCUCUUAUAUUAGUUUCUUCUUUGGAUGAUACUCAUUUAGUACUCAAGAACUAUCCCAUCUCUGUCUGCCCUUUACAUAUUGAAACUCUCUUGCUAACUUUGUCUCCCUCCCUCUCUUUCAUAAACCAUUUAUGCCACUUCCCCAGUAUGGAAACAGUAACACACUCCAGGAAAUUCAGUUUCCGUCUUGAAUAUACACCUGCUUUGCAUUCUACCUGCAAUAGCUUGAACCCAUCCAGUAUGGUGUUUAUCACUUUAACUUGACUUUGUUGGUACCCUGAAACAGAAGGAUUCUUUCUCCCUCCCCUCCCCUCCCUCCCUCCCUCCUUUCUUUCUUUCCUUCCUUCCUUCCUUCCUUCCUUCCUUCCUUCCUUCCUUCCUUCCUUCCUUCCUUCCUUCCUUCCCUCCUCUCUUUCUCAAUCUCUCUCUCUCUUUUUUCUCUCUCUCACUCUUUCUUUUUCUCUUUCUGGCACUCCUUUUUUUAAAAAAGAAACUUGUACACACAACAUUGCAUAUACUAUUUCACAGUCAAAAAAUGAUAGAAUAAUUUUUAGGAAAUGAGAGUUGCAGCAAACAAGUAAUAACUAAGGAACUCUUGAACUUUUGUCAUCUUUUUAAGCGAGGGACAUUUUUUAGAAAAUAGAUUGGACUCUAAGAGUAGAUGAACUUUUCUGUGAAAAUAUUCUAAAUUCUGUAAUUUAGAAAAGUAACCCUAUUUGUUUUUUCACUCCUUUAAAAGUUACCUAAAAUUAUGUGGAAGAAGACUGCCAUCUUGAAAUAGUAGUUUGGUUUUGGAACUAUGCAAUUGCAGCAGGCCAAGAAAAAAAAGGAUGAAUUGGAUAAAAUCGAACUCUCCUUCUCAAUAUGGAAGACUUUUGGGGCUUUUUUUGCAAUUGCAAAGGACUGUCAUGGUCUAAAUUGCCAAAUUCUAUGCUUGGUUCUGUUUUCUCUAUAAGUGAAAAUUCCCAUAACCACUGGCCAUCUGAUUAGUAUAUUGAAUUCCAAGAAACAAAGAUCUUGUUUCUCUUCAUGUCUGUUUUGAAAACCUUGCAACUAUAUAAGCAUGAAAUAAAUAUUUCAGGAGUUCUGUAUUGGUUGAGAACACUGAUUUAAAAAGAAUGCAAAAUGAGUCUAGGUAUGAGUUUCAGAAUUAAUAAUUUUAAUAAAUAAAAGUCAUCUUUUUAUAUAGUCAUACAUUUUAUAUACACUAAGUGUUACAUUUUAUUGAAUUAAGAAAGAUUCCUCUACCCAUAG